GACUCAACCAAUAUAAGCCAGUUCAGAGAGCAGAGAGGUUGUUGAAGGUUCAUAUCAACAAAGAACAAGAAUUACAGUAUCACAGAGACAAAGGACAAGUUUGUGAGAUGCAGGGUACAGUACUGUAAAAAUAGGGGUACAAGGAGGAGGAAGAACAAAAA